AUUGAACGCUGGCGGCAUGCCUUACACAUGCAAGUCGAACGGCAGCACGGGUGCUUGCACCUGGUGGCGAGUGGCGAACGGGUGAGUAAUACAUCGGAACAUGUCCUGUAGUGGGGGAUAGCCCGGCGAAAGCCGGAUUAAUACCGCAUACGAUCUACGGAUGAAAGCGGGGGACCUUCGGGCCUCGCGCUAUAGGGUUGGCCGAUGGCUGAUUAGCUAGUUGGUGGGGUAAAGGCCUACCAAGGCGACGAUCAGUAGCUGGUCUGAGAGGACGACCAGCCACCCUGGGACGGAGAAACGGCCCGAACCCCUAGGGGAGGCAGCAGUGGGGAAUUUUGGACAAUGGCGAAAGCCUGAUCCAGCAAUGCCGCGUGUGUGAAGAAGGCCUUCGGGUUGUAAAGCACUUUUGUCCGGAAAGAAAUCCUUGGCCCUAAUACGGUCGGGGGAUGACGGUACCGGAAGAAUAAGCACCGGCUAACUACGUG
rnacentral:rRNA from 1 species